rnacentral:rRNA from 1 species
AGUGAACGCUGGCGGCGUGCCUAAUACAUGCAAGUCGAACGAAGUGGCGCACGGGUGAGUAAUAUAUAGUUAAUCUGCCCUACACAGAGGAACAACAGUUGGAAACGACUGCUUAUACCUCAUAGUGUAGGAUGAGACUAUAUCGUAUCAGCUAGUUGGUAAGGUAAUGGCUUACCAAGGCUAUGACGCGUAACUGGUCUGAGAGGAUGCGCAAUCACGUUCAAGGGGAGAAACGGUCGAGAAUCUUACGGGAUGCAGGAAAACCGAAUAGUGCACAACGGGGGGAGUGCUGACGCAGUACCGCUGCGUGAAGGAUGAUACUUUGCGGAGAGUAAAUUCUUGCUAUCAGGAAAGCGGUACCUGAGGAAUAAGCAACGGCUAACUCCGUGCCAGCAGCCGCGGUAAUAC